GACGGAGGAUGCAAGCGUUAUCCGGAAUGAUUGGGCGUAAAGCGUCUGCAGGUGGCAGUUCAAGUCUGCUGUCAAAGACCGGGGCUUAACUUCGGAAAGGCAGUGGAAACUGAACAGCUAGAGUAUGGUAGGGGCAGAGGGAAUUCCUGGUGUAGCGGUGAAAUGCGUAGAGAUCAGGAAGAACAUCGGUGGCGAAGGCGCUCUGCUGGACCAUAACUGACACUCAGGGACGAAAGCUAGGGGAGCGAACAGG
rnacentral:rRNA from 1 species